GGGGACGUUACGGAUUCGACAGGGGUCCCCGAGCUUAUGAAGCGUGUCGGAGGGUUGUCUUCGUCAUCAACACAACAGUUAUAAUAACUGGCAAACAACAAAACUUAGCAGUAGCUGCGUAAUAGCACUCUGCAUCACCUAACAGCAUCGCCUAUGUGCUGUUAACGUGAUUCAACUUUAAGUAGGAUACGCUCGUCACUGCCGUUUGAAGUCUGACGAGAAGAGAUUAAUCAAACUAGCGUUGUAAUAGGGUGUCAGCCCCCUGAUACAACGCGAAACAAUAAAGACUUGACUACACACGUAGAAACAUUUGUAUCAGGAUCUCUGGACGCGGGUUCAACUCCCGCCGUCUCCA
rnacentral:tmRNA from 1 species